GGCUUAGAGUUUGAUCAUGGCUCAGGACGAACGCUGGCGGCGCGCCUAACACAUGCAAGUCGAACGGAGUUGAGAGGAGCUUGCUUUUCUUGACUUAGUGGCGAACGGGUGAGUAACGCGUGAGGAACCUGCCUCAAAGAGGGGGACAACAGUUGGAAACGACUGCUAAUACCGCAUAAGCCCACGGUCUCGCAUGGGACAGAGGGAAAAGGAGCAAUCCGCUUUGAGAUGGCCUCGCGUCCGAUUAGCUAGUUGGUGAGGUAACGGCCCACCAAGGCGACGAUCGGUAGCCGGACUGAGAGGUUGAACGGCCACAUUGGGACUGAGACACGGCCCAGACUCCUACGGGAGGCAGCAGUGGGGAAUAUUGCACAAUGGGGGAAACCCUGAUGCAGCGACGCCGCGUGGAGGAAGAAGGUCUUCGGAUUGUAAACUCCUGUUGUUGGGGAAAAAGAGGAUGGUACCCAACAAGGAAGUGACGGCUAACUACGUGCCAGCAGCCGCGGUAAAACGUAGGUCACGAGCGUUGUCCGGAAUUACUGGGUGUAAAGGGAGCGCAGGCGGGUAUGCAAGUUGGGAGUGAAAUACAUGGGCUCAACCCAUGAACUGCUCUCAAAACUGUGUAUCUUGAGUAGUGCAGAGGUAGGCG
rnacentral:rRNA from 1 species